GAUGAACGCUGGCGGCGUGCUUAACACAUGCAAGUCGAACGGAAAGGCUCCUGCUUGCAGGGGUACUCGAGUGGCGAACGGGUGAGUAACACGUGGGUGAUCUGCCCUGCACUUCGGGAUAAGCCUGGGAAACUGGGUCUAAUACCGGAUAGGACGAUGGUUUGGAUGCCAUUGUGGAAAGUUGUUCGGUGUGGGAUGAGCUCGCGGCCUAUCAGCUUGUUGGUGGGGUAAUGGCCUACCAAGGCGUCGACGGGUAGCCGGCCUGAGAGGGUGUACGGCCACAUUGGGACUGAGAUACGGCCCAGACUCCUACGGGAGGCAGCAGUGGGGAAUAUUGCACAAUGGGCGCAAGCCUGAUGCAGCGACGCCGCGUGGGGGAUGACGGCCUUCGGGUUGUAAACUCCUUUCGCUAGGGACGAAGCGCAAGUGACGGUACCUGGAGAAGAAGCACCGGCUAACUACGUG
rnacentral:rRNA from 1 species